GACGAACGCUGGCGGCAGGCUUAACACAUGCAAGUCGAGCGAGCGGCGGACGGGUGAGUAAUGUCUGGGAAACUGCCUGAUGGAGGGGGAUAACUACUGGAAACGGUAGCUAAUACCGCAUACCAUCAGAUGUGCCCAGAUGGGAUUAGCUAGUAGGUGGGGUAAUGGCUCACCUAGGCGACGAUCCCUAGCUGGUCUGAGAGGAUGAUCAGCAACACUGGCACUGAGACACGGUCCAGACUCCUACGGGAGGCAGAAGUGGGGAAUAUUGCACAAUGGGCGAAAUCAUGAUGCAGCCAUGCCGCGUGUGUGAAGAAGGCCUUCGGGUUGUAAAGCACUUUCAGCGGGGAGGCGUUACUCGCAGAAGAAGCACCGGCUAACUCCGUGCCAGCAGCCGCGGUAAUUC
rnacentral:rRNA from 1 species